CCUACGGGCGGCUGCAGUGGGGAAUAUUGGACAAUGGGGGGAACCCUGAUCCAGCCAUGCCGCGUGUGUGAAGAAGGCCCUCGGGUUGUAAAGCACUUUCAGUGAGGAAGAACGCCUGGUGGUUAAUACCCAUCAGGAAAGACAUCACUCACAGAAGAAGCACCGACUAACUCCGUGCCAGCAGCCGCGGUAAUACGGAGGGUGCGAGCGUUAAUCGGAAUUACUGGGCGUAAAGCGCGCGUAGGUGGCUUGAUAAGCCGGUUGUGAAAGCCCCGGGCUCAACCUGGGAACGGCAUCCGGAACUGUCAAGCUAGAGUGCAGGAGAGGAAGGUAGAAUUCCCGGUGUAGCGGUGAAAUGCGUAGAGAUCGGGAGGAAUACCAGUGGCGAAGGCGGCCUUCUGGACUGACACUGACACUGAGGUGCGAAAGCGUGGGUAGCAAACAGGAUUAGAUACCCUUGUAGUC
rnacentral:rRNA from 1 species